rnacentral:rRNA from 1 species
AAGAUUAAGCCAUGCAUGUCUAAGUAUAAGCAAUCUAUACAGUGAAACUGCGAAUGGCUCAUUAAAUCAGUUAUCGUUUAUUUGAUAGUACCUUACUACUUGGAUAACCGUGGUAAUUCUAGAGCUAAUACAUGCUAAAAACCUCGACUUCGGAAGGGGUGUAUUUAUUAGAUAAAAACCAAUGCCCUUCGGGGCUCCUUGGUGAUUCAUAAUAACUUAACGAAUCGCAU